UACAGAGGGUGCAAGCGUUGUUCGGAAUUAUUGGGCGUAAAGGGCGCGUAGGCGGUGCGGUAAGUCUGUAGUGAAAUCUCUGGGCUCAACUCAGAGUCUGCUAUAGAAACUGCCGUGCUUGAGUGUGGGAGAGGUGAGUGGAAUUCCCGGUGUAGCGGUGAAAUGCGUAGAUAUCGGGGAGGAACACCUGUGGCGAAAGCGGCUCACUGGACCACAACUGACGCUGAGGCGCGAAAGCUAGGGGAGCAAACA
rnacentral:rRNA from 1 species